UGGAGAGGGCGCCUGACAACAGGUCCGUUAUGCCCAACAGGUCAGUUAUGCCCAUCGGGUCCGUUAUGGAGAGGGGGCCUGAGGUGGAGAGGGGGCCUGAGAGAUGGCUACCACUUCCAAGGAAGACAGCAGGCGCGCAAAUUACCCAAUCCCGAAGCGGGGAGGUAGUGACAGGACAUGACGGGGCGGGGCGCUUAGCGCUCUGCGACUGGGUUGAGGAAAAGAUAAAGCGAUUGACGAGAAACGAUUGGAGGGCAAGUCUGGUGCCAGCAGCCGCGGUAAUUCCAGCUCCAAUGGUAUAUAUUAAAGUUGUUGCAGUUGAAAGGCUCGUAGUCGGAAGGCGGGGCGGUGGAUCCGGGUGGUAGGAAACUACGUACUUGGUCUGGCGCCCUUCGGGGGGCGAGGGGUAAUAGCCGGGCCCCCCCGGUUACUGUGAGGAAAUUAGAGUGUUCAAGGCAGGCGUGUGCUUGGAUAGGUUAGCAUGGAAUAACGGGAUGGUCCGUUGGUUGGAGCGUAGGUUGAUAGGGACAGUUGGGGGCAUUGGUAUUUGGCAGUCAGAGGUGAAAUUCUAGGAUUUGCCAAAGACGGACGGGGGCGAAAGCAUUUGCCAAGGAUGUUUUCAUUGAUCAAGAACGAAAGUUGGGGGAUCGAAGACGAUUAGAUACCGUCGUAGUCUCGACAGUAAACGAUGCCGGCGGGCCGCGGGGGGGCCGAGGGAGGCGCUUCCGUGCCCUGGAGAAAUCAGAGCGUGUGGGUUCUGGGGGGAGUAUGGUCGCAAGGCAGAAACUUGAAGGAAUUGACGGAAGGGCACCACCAGGAGUGGAGCCUGCGGCUUAAUUUGACUCAACACGGGGAAACUCACCAGGUCCGGACAUGGGAAGGAUUGACAGACUGAGAGCUCUUCCGUGAUUCUGUGGGAGGUGGUGCAUGGCCGUUGUUGGUUGGCGGAGUGAUUUGUCAGGUUUAUUCCGGUAACGGGCGAGACGGGGGGUGGGGGAAACUAUUAUCGUAGGCAUCUGCGAUAGUGGGCCACCGCGACACGCGGCGCCAAGCCGCGGGAAGCACCCCGCAAUAACAGGUCCGUUAUGCCCA
rnacentral:rRNA from 1 species